AAAUAGCAUUAUUUUCACUGUUUUUUUUUCCAAGCCAUUUAGUCUUAGGAUUCUGUGGUAGCUUCACCUCCUUUUUCACAGGUGAUUAUAGUCACUUUUUGCCCAAUCUGCUGUUGUCUUUCCCAAAAUAAUUUAAAAGUAGCAGAGAGAUUAGGAUGCACCGCCAUACAUUAACAUGUUUGUUUAUCAGGGAUAUUGUCCACGUGCCACAACCGUUUGCUAACAUGUAUGCACUGUUAUCUUUUCAUAGGAAUAAGUGUAAUUUGCCUAUUUGCUUAUUCAUUAAUGACAGCAGUAAAUUUUUACAUGUUAGUAAAACUUUCUUUUAAUACCUAGUUGAGUGAUCCUAUGAUUUAAAUCUAUUCUGUUUGAUCAAAAAAUCAAUGAUUUGGUCUAGUUAUGGUUUUUAUUCAUAAGAUUCUAAUGCAAAAUAAUGUUAUUUUGAUCCUUAGUAAAUUGUUAUUUUAAUUAUUAAGGUAAUUAUUCUUGUAUAAGAAUAAGAUGCUUGUAGAAUUGAGGGUAUCAUUCUUCUAAACAGUACUGUCAUGAUUUGGGAAAUAUUUCAUCUUAAACUACAAAAGACUUAUAAUCACAAAUUGCCCCUCAUAUUUAUCAUUUUUAAUAAAAUCUUUAAGAAUAGCAUUCCCUAGCAAUAAAGAAAAAUAAUAACCAUUAUCUUUCUAAGGUGAAAAGAACAGGUGGGUAUUCUGGCACACUUAAAUACAGUGACAAGCCCUCUAUUGAGAACGAAUAAAUGAACAGUUGUAAGUUUUGAAUUUACUCUGUGAAUUGUGUGUGAAAGGGAGGGGUUGGACUGUUUACAUGUUUUACAAGUGAAUUUUGAGAAACUCGGGCUUAAUUUAAAGACACAAAGCAGUACAGAUAAAAUUCCCAAUGAUGUACAAAUGUGCAGGAGAGUCAUGUUUUAAAGAGUAAGUUCUCUUAGGUUUCCUUAAGGUAUGUUCUUCCGGUGCAAGCAUGAUGGUUUAUAGAAGUUUCUGUAGGCAAAACUUCAAGAACACAUCUGUAACAUUAAAGCAAGUAAUAACUAGUUCAUACUUUCUAAGAAUAAAGGUUCAAGAUGUUUUUUCCCCUUAAUAUGUCUGAAAUUGUGUAUUUUUGGAUUUUCCUAAGCUGCUAAUAUAAUUUUAUUUGAAGUAAAUGUCUCAUAUACUUCUUUCCCAGACCAAACAGGGAGAGUCCUUAAGAGUGUUGUAUGAUUAUUAGACUUUGUGUGCCUAAGUGAUAGUAUAUUUUUUUUGGCCUAUGCCUUUUUAAACUGUUUCAUAUUGAAAGUUGAAAUAUUGUAAAAAAUUUUGUUAAAGAUGUACUGUAGUGCUAUUUGAAGUACCUGUAACAAAAUACUUAUUUACCUUUACUAUCACUGCAAGCUUCUUGUGGAAACUAUAUAGGAGUGAAAAUAAACUCUAUACAUCCAUGAAAAGAUUAAACAUUUGAUAUUAAAUGAUGAGUUGCUGCAUGCCAGAGUGAUUAGUGUUAUUGAAUCAAUUACUUUGGUUUUCUGAAAAAUAAACUUUAUAAAUAUCUUUAAAGAGAAUUAGAGGAAUUUUUCCUUUGGAUGAUUCCAGGCUGUAGCAUGAUUAUUUACAGAAGUCAUUUGAUUGGCUUAGUUAGUGGGAUUGUUUCUUGUUUUGUACUGCAAUAGGUUCUACAAUAUUAGGACAAAAUGUGUAUGUGUUGAAGAAAAGUAGGUGGUGGUUAAGAAUCUUGAAAAAUUCAAAUUUCAGAAUAUUUUAAAAAUAAAGUUUCAAAUUACA